rnacentral:tRNA from 1 species
UGCCGGGGUGGCGGAAUAGGCAGACGCCCCAGACUUAAAAUCUGGUGUCAGGUGACUGGCGUACGGGUUCAAGUCCCGUCCUCGGCAU